rnacentral:sRNA from 1 species
UUCAUAGCCAUGAAGACUGAAAUCCUCUGUUUUAUCCAAAAUUAAGUUCAGCACAAGGAGUAACAAAGCAAACGCUCCGACCCCUCACUAAUAUGCCUCAAAUCUGACCUAGAAGAGCCACUUCUGUGGGGUGACAGAGUAGUUCAGUCUUCUUUCCCAUUCAGUCCCAAGCAAUU